AUUGAACGCUGGCGGCAGGCUUAACACAUGCAAGUCGAGCGGGGGAAGGUAGCUUGCUACCGGACCUAGCGGCGGACGGGUGAGUAAUGCUUAGGAAUCUGCCUAUUAGUGGGGGACAACAUCUCGAAAGGGAUGCUAAUACCGCAUACGUCCUACGGGAGAAAGCAGGGGAUCUUCGGACCUUGCGCCAAUAGAUGAGUCUAAGUCGGAUUAGCUAGUUGGUGGGGUAAAGGCCUACCAAGGCGACGAUCUGUAGCGGGUCUGAGAGGAUGAUCCGCCACACUGGGACUGAGACACGGCCCAGACUCCUACGGGAGGCAGCAGUGGGGAAUAUUGGACAAUGGGGGGAACCCUGAUCCAGCCAUGCCGCGUGUGUGAAGAAGGCCUUAUGGUUGUAAAGCACUUUAAGCGAGGAGGAGGCUACUCUAGUUAAUACCUAGGGAUAGUGGACGUUACUCGCAGAAUAAGCACCGGCUAACUCUGUGCCAGCAGCCGCCGCAG
rnacentral:rRNA from 1 species